rnacentral:pre_miRNA from 12 species
GCAAUUGCUUGAUAGGAGACCUGGAUGUGGCUAAGUCAAAAUCCAGAAGAAUUGUGGAAGUGGUAGCACU